UCUGGUAGUUAUGGCGAGAAGGUCACACCCGUUCCCAUCCCGAACACGGUAGUUAAGUUU
rnacentral:rRNA from 1 species